UGGGGAAUAUUGCACAAUGGGCGCAAGCCUGAUGCAGCGACGCCGCGUGAGGGAUGACGGCCUUCGGGUUGUAAACCUCUUUCAGUAUGGAACAAGGAUCCUUCUUUUGGGGGUUUGAGGGUACGUGCAGAAGAAGCGCCGGCUAACUACGUGCCAGCAGCCGCGGUAAUACGUAGGGCGCGAGCGUUGUCCGGAUUUAUUGGGCGUAAAGAGCUCGUAGGCGGUUUGUCGCGUCUGCCGUGAAAUUUCCUGGCUUAACUGGGAGCGUGCGGUGGGUACGGGCAGACUGGAGUGCGGUAGGGGAGACUGGAAUUCCUGGUGUAGCGGUGGAAUGCGCAGAUAUCAGGAGGAACACCGGUGGCGAAGGCGGGUCUCUGGGCCGUUACUGACGCUGAGGAGCGAAAGCAUGGGGAGCGAACAGGAUUAGAUACCCUGGUA
rnacentral:rRNA from 1 species